UAAAAAGAGUGGCCUCAGAAGGGACAGGAGGAAAUUCCCAGCUGGUUGGAGAUGUUCUGAUGAGGCAUAGAUUUAAGGCCUAGGUAUUUUUCAAAAUUGUACAGAUAAAAAUAGGAUAAAAAGAAAACAUAACAUUAGCAUAGAUUUUCAUAAGAAUAUUUUAAUUCUUACAUUAUAUGCAAGCAGUUUAAACAUUGAUUAAAUUAAGAGAUUUCUAGACCCACCAACCAUGAGGUGCAGUAGAAUUCACUUUAAAAAUGAGGCCAAAAGGGGCUGCAAAGAUUCCCAGUGAUUAAGAGCACUGGCUACUGCUGUGGAUAUCGCUCUGUAUAAACAAAAUGCUGAUUGGCCAGUAACCAGGCAGGAAGUAUAGGUGGAACAAACAGAGAAGAGAAUUCUGGGAAGUGGAAGGCUGAGUCAGAGAGACGCUGCCAGCCGCCGCCAUGACAACCAAGAUGUAAGGUGUGAAAGGCGCUUGGCAGCGUGGUGUUGGACGUGCUACUAGGGUGAAGAAUGGGCUGGAGAAAGAGGGGAGAGUGGAAGACAGACGGGAAACUGCCAGCCCUGGAGGGCUUCCACUUGGCUCCUUCACACCAGAUUCUGACAGCCUCUCCCUUCAAGCCCAUCCCUCAGUCCUCAUCUCAAGACAAUUACGGGUGAAUGUUAAUUAAUGGAAAUAUCUCUUCAGAAAGGUCAUGAACAAUUAAGGCUGCUCGUGGUGCUGUAAAGCAAAGAAGACUGGGGCACUUGGCUGAAGCUCAGCCAGGUCCCAUAUCUCUAAAGGCGGCAUAGCCUUCCAAAUGAUGCCGCAAGCUGGUGACCAACCAUUCUAAACAUGAGACUACGUAAGGCAGUCAGUAUUCAAGCCACAGCAGCAAGACCACAAGGAUUGAUCAUCACUGGCAAGAUUUUGAUUUUUUUGUGGGAGCCCAGCCAUCUUCUCUGUGUUAAGGGAUGAAGACAGGCUUAGAGCCUCAAUUUAAAGAAGGCAAUGUAAUAUCUUUGGAAAAAUGAGAGACCACGAGAGAGUGGGAAUAAGGGAUUCUGUGGGGAGAGGGCUCACAAAAGGAUUCUAGGGAGGUUCAGAAUCUGUGGUGACUUUUCUCCCUAGAUGCUUUACAUAGGGACUCUCAGAUGGCCCCAUCUGGCCCACAUCUUCCAUACUGUCUCCUGCUAAAUAAUCAGUACAGAGAAAAACAAGUCACUGUAUGUUCCUUUCAACAUCCCAGAAGUAAAAGAGAAACAGCUCUGGAGCAGA